GACGAACGCUGGCGGCGUGCCUAAUACAUGCAAGUAGAACGCUGAAGGAGGAGCUUGCUUCUCUGGAUGAGUUGCGAGCGGGUGAGUAACGCGUAGGUAACCUGCCUGGUAGCGGGGGAUAACUAUUGGAAACGAUAGCUAAUACCGCAUAAUAGUAGAUGUUGCAUGACAUUUGCUUAAAAGGUGCAAUUGCAUCACUACCAGAUGGACCUGCGUUGUAUUAGCUAGUUGGUGGGGUAACGGCUCACCAAGGCGACGAUACAUAGCCGACCUGAGAGGGUGAUCGGCCACACUGGGACUGAGACACGGCCCAGACUCCUACGGGAGGCAGCAGUAGGGAAUCUUCGGCAAUGGACGGAAGUCUGACCGAGCAACGCCGCGUGAGUGAAGAAGGUUUUCGGAUCGUAAAGCUCUGUUGUAAGAGAAGAACGAGUGUGAGAGUGGAAAGUUCACACUGUGACGGUAUCUUACCAGAAAGGGACGGCUAACUACGU
rnacentral:rRNA from 1 species